CGCGUGCACUGACUCGGUUGGGCCUUUCCUUCUGGAGAACCGCAUGCCCUUCACUGGGUGUGUCGGGGAACCAGGACUUUUACUCUGAACAAAUUAGAUCGCUUAAAGAAGGCCUAUGCUCGAAUACAUUAGCAUGGAAUAAUAGAAUAGGACGUGUGGUUCUAUUUUGUUGGUUUCUAGGACCGCCGUAAUGAUUAAUAGGGACAGUCGGGGGCAUCAGUAUUCAAUUGUCAGAGGUGAAAUUCUUGGAUUUAUUGAAGACUAACUACUGCGAAAGCAUUUGCCAAGGAUGUUUUCAUUAAUCAGGAACGAAAGUUAGGGGAUCGAAGACGAUCAGAUACCGUCGUAGUCUUAACCAUAAACUAUGCCGAUUAGGGAUCGGACGAUGUUAUUUUUUGACUCGUUCGGCACCUUACGAUAAAUCAAAAUGUUUGGGCUCCUAGGGGAGUAUGGUCGCAAGGCUGAAACUUAAAGAAAUUGACGGAAGGGCACCACCAGGGGUGGAGCCUGCGGCUUAAUUUGACUCAACACGGGGAAACUCACCAGGUCCAGACACGAUGAGGAUUGACAGAUUGAGAGCUCUUUCUUGAUUUCGUGGGUGGUGGUGCAUGGCCGUUCUUAGUUGGUGGAGUGAUUUGUCUGCUUAAUUGCGAUAACGAACGAGACCUUAACCUGCUAAAUAGCCCGUAUUGCUUUGGCAGUACGCUGGCUUCUUAGAGGGACUAUCGG
rnacentral:rRNA from 1 species